rnacentral:rRNA from 1 species
AUUGAACGCUGGCGGCAUGCCUUACACAUGCAAGUCGAACGGUAACAGGUCUUCGGACGCUGACGAGUGGCGAACGGGUGAGUAAUACAUCGGAACGUGCCCAGUCGUGGGGGAUAACUACUCGAAAGAGUAGCUAAUACCGCAUACGAUCUGAGGAUGAAAGCGGGGGACCUUCGGGCCUCGCGCGAUUGGAGCGGCCGAUGGCAGAUUAGGUAGGUGGUGGGAUAAAAGCUUACCAAGCCGACGAUCUGUAGCUGGUCUGGGAGGACGACCAGCCACACUGGGACUGAGACACGGCCCAGACUCCGACGGGAGGCAGCAGUGGGGAAUUUUGGACAAUGGGCGAAAGCCUGAUCCAGCAAUGCCGCGUGCAGGAUGAAGGCCUUCGGGUUGUAAACUGCUUUUGUACGGAACGAAAAAGCUUCUCCUAAUACGAGAGGCCCAUGACGGUACCGUAAGAAUAAGCACCGGCUAACUACGUGCCAGCCGCCGCAGUAAUAC